UGUAGAUGUCGCCGUAAUUUUUCUAACAUUGUCAGGUGACAGAUGAUUAUUGUUUACUAAGUUAGUGUAAAGUUUUCAAUAAAAAGGAAUUAACAAUGCCAUUCCAGUGGUGUUUACAAAGGUGGAGAUUCUGGAUUCGACCCGUCACAAUGAUCACAUAUGGAAUCAUAAUUGUUAUUGUGCUUCCUUUGUGUAGUGUUCGAUUGAAAAAGGGAGGAGCAAAUCCAAAUGAUCAAGCAUGGCUGAGUGGAGGAAUUUUUGUUCUCAUGGCCCUACCCAUCACAUUUUGGGAAAUAACACAGCACUUAGUACACUACACUAAACCUUACUUACAAAAACACAUUAUUAGGAUUUUAUGGAUGGUACCAAUAUAUGCCCUGAAUGCUGUAAGUCAGUAGUUUGUGUGUACCUGUAUAUAUUUACGUGUAGUUAGUUUUUGUCUGUAUAGCUAGUUUUUGUGUCUGUAGUUUGUAAUAUAUUUCAUAAUGUAAUAGAACCACAGAUUUAACCCUACAAGAAUUCAGGAUCCAUAAUAAGUAAAAUCAGGUAAAUCUAAAGAUAACUUCAAGUUAAAUCAACAUUGUAACUGCUGUGUCUUCCUGUGGUUUAUUUAGGGUUACACAUGUAUAUAUUGUGCUAUUUUACAAAGUUUUAACACAUCUAUUCUGUCUUCCUGUGGUUUAUUUAGGGUUAUACAUGUAUAUAUUCUGCUAUUUUACAAAGUUUUAACACAUGUAUUCUGUCUUCCUGUGGUUUAUUUAGGGUUAUACAUGUAUAUAUUCUGCUAUUUUACAAAGUUUUAACACAUGUAUUCUGUCUUCCUGUGGUUUAUUUAGGGUUAUACAUGUAUAUAUUCUGCUAUUUUACAAAGUUUUAACAAGUGUAUUCCUCAUCCGUAAUCUCCAAUUGACACGUUUUAUAUGACAUAAUACAACAUAUUUUUCCUUCAUUUAUGAAGCAAUGCUAGUUACAGUGGUUAAAUUAUUAAAAUCGAAAACUAAGAAAUAACUUCUUAAUUAUGCAAAAAGUUGGUUUAAGGCACUAUAAUUAUUAGUAACUUUGGAGCAAAGUUUUCUGCUCUAACCAUAGCAGAGACAGAAUAAUACAAUGUUUUAUAUCUAAAUGCAACCCAGACAGAACAGUAUGAUGUUUUAUCUAUAACCCUGGUCCAGACUAAACAAUAUGAUAUUC